UAUUGAUUGCUGGGCGGGGGAGCUAGUUGUUUGAGCUCCUGUAUGGGCCUAAGGAUAUUUUUGUUAUAAUUUAUCCCACCUGUGCCCGUCAGUUCCUUUCCACUUGCCUCCUCCCGUGACAGUCUGGCUCAUGUUUCUUCAUCAAGCUCUCAGCCAGUUAUUAAUAACAGCCCAGCGAGUCUCCUGAUCUACCUAGAGCAUAUGGUGUUUUUCACAAAAGAGAGAUCCUCUCCUUGACUUUGGACUUCGCUUAUUGAGCCCCUGAACACUGAAGGCUUUGUCUUUGCAGCCUCCUUUAUAAUGGUUGCUUCUGAGAGUCCUGAAAAGUAGGUCACUGUGUUUUCUGUCUGGAAAAGGAGGACCUUGAAGCUCAGAAAGGCCAAUGCCCUGCUCCGUCCUUGUGAGCUCAGCUGAAACCAGACAAUCCAGUCAUUCUUCAGGACCAGGGACUAAUGCAGCUUCCUGCUUUGGUUACGUAUAUUCAUUGCUCCUGAACAGGUGCAUCACACUUCUCAACAGAACGUGGAAGGGAGGUGUUACCACAAACGGGAAUGAGGGACCAAGGUUGCUAAGAGACCACCCGUGCUGA
rnacentral:lncRNA from 12 species